GGCGGUCAUCCGCCGAGCCGCAGCAGGAGCCGGGGACCCACCGCGCACGCGCGAGGAACGGCGUACGCACCCGGGGUGAAUCGGGAAGUCGCACCGCGGAAGCACCGCGAACGACCCGUAGGGCAGCCUUCCGACGGCCCGAACCCGUCAGCUAACCCGGUAGGCGGUUCACGGAAGGAGUU
rnacentral:sRNA from 1 species